CAGAGUCUUGCUGUGUUGCCCAGGCCAGAGUGCAAUGGCAUGAUCUCAGCUAACUGCAACCUCCACUUCCUGAGUUCAAGUGAUUCUCGUGCCUCAGCCUCCUGAGAAGCUGAGAUUACAGACGCAUGUAACAUUUGGUGCUGAAACCCAAGACAGGGGACUCCUUCAGAAGACCAGCCCCCUGUCCUCACCCUCAGUCCGGGAGGAGAUCCACCUACGACCUCGGGUCCUCAGACCAGCCCAAGGAACAUCUCACCAAUUUCAAAUUGGGACCCCACUGGAAGUCGGACCAUCCAACUUGGAUUACAGCUGCUCCUAGACCUACUGGAGCAAAAAGCUAAGGCUCCUGGCUGAUUCCUUCCCAGAUCUCCUCGGCUUAGUGGCUAAAGACUGACGCUGCCAAAUCAUCUCGGAAGCCCCCUGGACCAUCACGGAUGCCGAGCUUCGGAUAACUCCUACAGUGGAGGACAGGAAUGUCAGGCCUGUGAGCCCAAAGUAAGCCAUCAUAACCCCUGUGACCUGCAUGUAUACGUCCAGAUGGCCUGGAGCAACUGAAGAACCACAAAAGAAGUGAAACAGCCAGUUCCUGCCUUAACUGAUGACAUUCCACCAUUGUGAUUUGUUCCUGCCCCACCCUAACUAAUCAAUCGACCUUGUGACAUUCCUCCCCUGGACAAUGAGUCUCAUGAUCUCCCCACCCUGCACCUUGUGUCCCCCAUCCCUGCCUGUAAGAGAUAACCACCUUUAACUGUAAUUUUCCACUACCUACCCAAAUCCUAUAAAACUGCCCCACCCCUAUUUCCCUUUGCUGACUCCUUUUUCGGACUCAGCCCACCUGCACCCAAGUGAAUAAACAGCCUCAUUGCUCACACA
rnacentral:lncRNA from 10 species